rnacentral:rRNA from 1 species
UACCGGCGCCACAAGUGGUGAUCAUGUUUAUUGGGUCUAAAGUGUUCGUAGCUGGUUGUCUAAGUCUCUUGUGAAAUACCUGUUGCUUAACACAGAAAUUGCAAGAGAUACUGGAUAACUUGGGACCGGAAGAGGUGUGAAGUAUUGUUUGGGUAGCGGUAAAAUGCUAUAAUCCUUACAAGACUAACUAAGGCGAAGGCAUCACACUUGGACGGAUCUGACAGUGAGGAACGAGAGCUGGGGGAGCGAA